rnacentral:rRNA from 1 species
GAUGAACGCUAGCGGCAGGCUUAACACAUGCAAGUCGAGGGGCAGCGAGAUCAGUGCUUGCACUGAUUGUCGGCGACCGGCGCACGGGUGCGUAACGCGUAUGCAACCUACCCAUUACAGGGGGAUAACACUGAGAAAUCGGUACUAAUACCCCAUAACAUCCAGGGAGGCAUCUUCUUGGGUUGAAAACUCCGGUGGUAAUGGAUGGGCAUGCGUUGUAUUAGUUAGUUGGUGGGGUAACGGCUCACCAAGACAACGAUACAUAGGGGGACUGAGAGGUUAACCCCCCACAUUGGUACUGAGACACGGACCAAACUCCUACGGGAGGCAGCAGUGAGGAAUAUUGGUCAAUGGACGCAAGUCUGAACCAGCCAUGCCGCGUGCAGGAAGACGGCUCUAUGAGUUGUAAACUGCUUUUGUACGAGGGUAAACGCAGAUACGCGUAUCUGUC